rnacentral:lncRNA from 1 species
CCACACACCCAAGGACCUGAUAAGACUACAAUGACCAGGGUGGCCUAUAUCCCUGUCUUCUUGCAACUCAAGCUUUGCCUGGUCACCACCUACUUGCCCCAACUCCUUGGACUCCAGCCCUCGGAGGACACCCAGACAUCACAAGGAAGUGCCAGGCACAGAUGGCAGGUUGCAUAAUUGCUGGCCCCUGAGCAACUGGAGAGGCUCUUAGGUCCCAGCUGGCAUGGGGUUGCUGCUUCCAUAUUGGAGAAGGUCCGUGAGUCUGGGGCCAGACCCCUGUCUCACACUCUGAGAUGACCUUAGUGAUCGACCUGUGGGUACUUCCACAGGUUUCUUCUCAGGACAAUUACUUUUUCUAGACAAGUUUCUCUUCCUUCUCAGGGCUCAGCCUUGGCUGUGGGUGGCCAAACAACUGUUCACAAAAGGCAGAGAUCUCUUCAAUUCCAGCUUAUGAAUCCAUACCUCCCUACCUCUGAAGGUGGAAAAUGGCACCUGAAUCCAUGAUCUACUACUUCUUCCUGCCCUUAACUCCUCACACCCAUCUGGACACUCGGAGAGUGUGGAGGGCACCCAGGGUGCAUGCUGGCAGUGGAGGUCUUGGGAAAACUGGCCAGGAAGCAAAAAAAUGCACCUCAUGUGACUAAAAUUUUUUGCUGUUCUGUGCUUGCUGGACAAUGAUCCCAAAAGAUUUUUAAAGACCAACUCUCUGGCUACCAACCUAUUUGGCUUAGCCAUGGACAUGGAGCAGGUAAACAUUGCCUUUACCUAUGACAUGUCUGAGGAUUCUAAGAUCUGCCUGCAUCAGUUGGACAGAUACAGUAGAGGAUUUGCCCAUUUUCUGGAAAGUGACCAUCUGCCCUUCAGGAGAGGACAGCAGAGUGGGGGUGAAGGAUACUCUACUGCCCUCACCCUUGACAGCCUCCACCCCAAACCUGGCUUCCUACUUCUACAUCAGCCACCACUCCUGAACCCCCAUUCCUGAUUGUCAGAAUUUUUAACAUAACUAAACAUGAAACACAAAUGCAUCUGCAUCAUGUGUGGGUGCUCUCUCCCUUUAUUGUAUUUGGGGUGAGGUUAUUUUAAGGCAUGGUCCAGGGUAAAUUCCUGUAAGGCCUGGGUGCCC